rnacentral:rRNA from 1 species
GACGAACGCUGGCGGCGUGCCUAACACAUGCAAGUCGAACGGAACUUAUCGAAUGAAGUUUUCGGAUGGAUUUUGGUAAGUUUAGUGGCGGACGGGUGAGUAACACGUAGGUAACCUGCCCCGGAGCGGGGAGUAACAGUUUGGAAACGAGAUGCUAAUACCGCAUAACAACAAAAGCCGCAUGGCUUUUGUUUGAAAGAUGGCUUUGGCUAUCACUCUGGGAUGGACCUGCGGUGCAUUAGCUAGUUGGUAAGGUAACGGCUUACCAAGGCGAUGAUGCAUAGCCGAGUUGAGAGACUGAUCGGCCACAAUGGAACUGAGACACGGUCCAU